rnacentral:misc_RNA from 1 species
UAUCAUCAUACACAUUCACUGUGCCACCAUAAAAGAUAGUCAGUUGAGCAGGAGACCCAGAGGCUAUCGCACAUGAUUCCAUCAUCCCAGUGACAGAGCCAACAGUAGGAAGAAUUGUUUGUGGAGUCGUGACAGGAAUUCCUCCAAGUAAUUGAGGCUUCACUGUAGCACCAGAAACAUUCUGACCUGAGGGGGCAUAAUAAUUCUUGAAGAAAGG